GAUGAACGCUGGCGGCGUGCCUAAUACAUGCAAGUCGAGCGAACAGACGAGGAGCUUGCUCCUCUGACGUUAGCGGCGGACGGGUGAGUAACACGUGGAUAACCUACCUAUAAGACUGGGAUAACUUCGGGAAACCGGCGCUAAUACCGGAUAAUAUAUUGAACCGCAUGGUUCAAUAGUGAAAGACGGUUUUGCUGUCACUUAUAGAUGGAUCCGCGCCGCAUUAGCUAGUUGGUAAGGUAACGGCUUACCAAGGCAACGAUGCGUAGCCGACCUGAGAGGGUGAUAGGCCACACUGGAACUGAGACACGGUCCAGACUCCUACGGGAGGCAGCAGUAGGGAAUCUUACGCAAUGGGCGAAAGCAUGACGGAGCAACGCCGCGUGAGUGAUGAAGGUCUUCGGAUCGUAAAACUCUGUUAUUAGGGAAGAACAAAUGUGUAAGUAACUAUGCACGUCGUGACGGUACCUAAUCAGAAAGCCACGGCUAACUACGUG
rnacentral:rRNA from 1 species